rnacentral:rRNA from 1 species
ACGAACGCUGGCGGCGUGCUUAACACAUGCAAGUCGAACGGAAAGGCCCUGCUUUUGUGGGGUGCUCGAGUGGCGAACGGGUGAGUAACACGUGAGUAACCUGCCCUUGACUUUGGGAUAACUUCAGGAAACUGGGGCUAAUACCGGAUAGGAGCUCCAGCUGCAUGGUGGGGGUUGGAAAGUUUCGGCGGUUGGGGAUGGACUCGCGGCUUAUCAGCUUGUUGGUGGGGUAGUGGCUUACCAAGGCUUUGACGGGUAGCCGGCCUGAGCGGGUGACCGGCCACAUUGGGACUGAGAUACGGCCGAGACUCCUACGGGAGGCAGCAGUGGGGAAUAGUGCACAAUGGGCGGAAGCCUGAUGCAGCAACGCCGCGUGCGGGAUGACGGCCUUCGGGUUGUAAACCGCUUGCGCCUGUGACGAAGCGUGAGUGACGGUAAUGGGUAAAGAAGCACCGGCUAACUACGUG